rnacentral:lncRNA from 1 species
AUGUUCUCUAUGCUUUGUUUUGUUUAUUUUUUAAAAAUUUUCUUUUUUGGGAGGGAGGACAUUAAGAGACAGGGGAGAUGAGUGGCAUUGAGGUAUAAAUGUCAAAAUCACAGAGUCAAUAAAACAAUAAAAAAUAAAAUAAAAUUCACAAAUGUGGUCCUAAGUUUAUUAUGAUUGGAGCAAUAGAAAAGAUCAUAACACACAAUUACCAAAAAAUAACUCCAAUUUUAAAUUUCAUAUACCUCCAUAAUAUAGUACUUCCUGUUUCUUUCAAAAUUCACCAUCAGAGAGACUGCAUGGUGCAACAAAAGCAGGCAGCCACUAAAUGCUUGACUGCUCUUCUGCUAGAAAGAGGGAGUCACAUUAGGAAUGAAUGUGUUUAAUCUCAACAAAUGGGCAGCCUAGGAAGAUUGCUUGGCUCCAUCUUCACAGACAGAGUGGAAUGGGAGGCCGUGUACUGGGAACACACUCGUUUGUCUAGAAAAAGCGCUCUUAACCUUUUCUCACACUGAUACAUAAUUUCAGUUCUCUGAUCAGUCCACCAUACAACGAUACGUGUUACCCUAAAGGUCAGGUGUCUUAUUAGAUUCUCUUCAUCACUUUACUGAAACAGUAAGCCAAACAAAGCAUGCAUUUACCCUGAUUCCUUAAUGCAAAUAUAUCUAUAAGACCAAUAUCAUAGUUAUGUUACUAUUUGAGGGUGUUUUACAUAGUUCUUCACAGUAGCAGUGUAGUCCCUAGCAUGAUGGGAUUAAGGAUGCAAAACCUUUAGGAGGUAAAGCCUUGUGAAAGGUUAUUAUUGAAGGCAUUAACAGUAGAAGGGAGGAACGUAGCUUUCUUAAGACCCCUGUGUUAUGUUUUGUAUGUUUGUCAGGUUUCAUUUAUGCUGUGAUAAUAUGCCCUGACAAAAAGCAACUUAGGGGAAGAAAAGUCUUGUUUUAGAUUACAAUUACAGUUACAAGUUAUAGGUAUAGUGAACCGCUGUGGGAAUAUCAAGCAGGAACAUUUAAUAGCCACGUGUAUCAUAGCCACAGCAAAAGCCAAGAACAGAGAGAAAUGAUUGUAUCCAUCCUGCUUGCUUACCUGUGCCCAGCUCGAUUUCUCCGUUCCUAUACAUUCAAAACCCUCUGCCUAGGGGAUGAUGACGCCCACAGUGGACUGAAUCAUCCCAUAUCAAUUAACUUAAUUAAGUGAUUCUGUGUUGUGUUAACUUGGUAAAGAUAAACUAUCACAGAUCUGUAAAUCCACCCCUCCAGCCCUGCCACACGCACAUCAAGCUCAUGUGUUUAAAUACUUGAUCAUCAGCUGCUGUCACUGUUUGGGGACCUAAGGCCUAGCUUGGUGAACUUGGCCACGAGGGAUGGGACUUUGAAGAUCAUAUUUAUAUCCAGUUAUGGCCCAAGAACUUGUUGCUUCCUAGUUGGUGCCAAGUCAUGUCAUGGAUGAACUACCUGACGUGCUUUUUCUAUCAUGUACACAACCGUACCUCUCAAACUGUAGUUAAAAUAAACCUAUUCUCUCUUGAGUUCGUUCUAGAUCAUAUGAAAAUGUCGCUGGUCUAGAUCCCAUGAGCGUAGGUUGUUACACAAAGAGUAAACCUGGUCCCUGAAUCUCUCUUGCUCCCUAAGUGGCCAUGUGAUCUCUCUAUUUCAUGCAUAUCCAUACAUAAUGCUGCCCUCCACAAUGUGACAGAGGCAGAAUGCCCUCACCAGAGCUGAGCAGAUGUUAGCACUAUUCCAAAAUUAAUUGUAAGCUAAAUAGACCUCUUUUUUUUUUUAGAAAUAAAAUAGCCUCAGGGAUUUUGUUAUAACACAAAAUGAACUAAGGCAUCUAUCUACUUGGGUGAUAUGGCUGAGCAGAGAACCGCAGAGAUGCACAAUACCAUAAAAUGUUAUUUUCCAAUUACAGGGCACAACAUAUGUGCAUAUCCUCUAUAACAUACAUAGCAUGAAAUGUUAAAGAACUAGGAAGUUGCAGGGUUUGAGUACCUGUUAUCUUUGACUUUAAUAGAACAUGGCACUUGUAACUUGAUUUUUAAUCUGGCUUUGUUUAACCAGCUUACAAAAUCCUCUUAAGUUCAGCACUCAAAUGCCAGGCCACAAGGAGGCUUCUUGGACCUAGCUCAGGUAGUGAGGGGCAGGAGGAAGGUAGAGAAAAAGAGGCCUGUGUGGAAAAUACAGAGACUAGGCCCUUGCUCCAGGAUGCCAACCUGUGGUAAAGCCAGAAGGAACAGAGAGGAAGCUUAGCCUGAUCUUGUAAGGGAGACCCUGAGAGAAGACCACGAAAAUGUGGCUUCCAGAAGAGGUGACCUCAAGUCAAGUGGUGGAGCGGAGACCAGAACCGUGUCAGUUUCUGCCUGUGCCCAGCUCACCCUCCACAAAAAGACCUAUGGAGCCGUCUCCGAUCCCCCCACAUAAAGGCCACCCCUGUGUUCCUUCCUAUUCUGCAUCCUUGGUCUGGAAUGUAUUCACUUUGCUAGUUAUGGCCUGGGUUGUGCCCUAUCCUCUUGUGCCCUCAGAUGGCAGAGGUGGCUGUAAUUGCAGAUAAAGUCAGAAAAGAGCUCAUGCAGUUUACAGGUCUUUAAGGUGGUGCUCAGUCCACGUAACUGAUAUCCUUAUAAAGAGAGGGAGCUGGGACACAGGGAGGAACCACAGAACCACACACAGAGAUCCGUGUGAAAGCCAGCCACUUUCAAGGUAAGAGGCUCAGAAGAGAUGAGCCUGGCAACACCGUGAACUCUAACUCCUAGCCUUCAGAAUCAGAGACAGCAGAUUUCUGAUGUGUAAGCCACUUGUUCCA